rnacentral:tRNA from 1 species
UCAUGUAGCUCAGUGGUAGAGCACUACGUUGACAUCGUAGUGGUCGUAGGUUCAAUCCCUAUCGUGAC